AGCCGCGGGAGCGGCCAGCGGCGCCUCGGGCUGAGGCGAGGAGCAGCCCAGCUGCACCACCGUGCUGCGGGACCGCGCCAGCGCGGAGGAGACGGAGCCCAUCUCAGGGGGCCGGCCCGGCUUCCCCCGGGACCCACACCCCUGGCCUCCCGAAGGCUCACUCCCUCCAGGCGCCGGGCACACCAGCCGCCAGCUCCACCUGUGACCUCGCCAGCUGCUGCCCUCCUCGGCGGGGGAGGAGAAGGAUGCAGGCAGGGUGACGCCCACCGCACGUGCACCCAGAGCGACCUGGGAGGUGUCGGUGACUGUCCAAGAGUCCGGAGUGGAGGUGGACGCUGGAUUGCCGAGGCCCUGGCAUAAAUCCUCACUCCGGGAAAACCCUGUGAAAAAGAAAGCUCCCAGGAAGGUUUUUGAGCUAGAAGUUUGGCCCCAGUGUGGAGGUGCUGAGAUAGUGGAAAUGGGAAGAGGUGGACCUAAAACGAGAAAGCCCGCACUGCAGCGGUGAAGACACUAGCUGUGCUGUUGGAAGGUUGGCCUAUUUUCAGGGUCAACCAGUCUGCAUGAAAAACAUUAACUGAGUUUACUUUAGACAUCAUACGAGUACCCCCUCAAAGGGUUUCUGAUGACAGAUACCCUGGAGUUGAAACCCAGCUCCACAAUUUAUCAUCCUUAUGAUGCUGAAAGGUUAUCUCACCUCUCCAUCGCUCAGGUGCUUCAUCUAUGAAACAG